UCUACGAUUAACUAGUCUUGUCUUUGCUGUCAUUUUUUUAAAUUUAAGUAUUUCAACUCCAGCAAACAUUAAUUUGAGGUUAGAAUAGUACUCUACAGCUUUGCUUAAGUCUACUUCGACCACGACUUGGCGAAGAUUGUCUUAUUUGGCUGUAUAUACGUCAUACAAGACGUCUUAUUACGACUAUGAAUUCAUGACUAAUAAGAUAGUCUUAAGUCUGAUCUUAUUUUGAAUAAGAUCUGUCUAUGAAUCAUGUCGAGACCAAACAAGACGUUUCCAAACAAGAUUGUCUUGGACAAGCCUUGACUUUUACUCUAGCAUUUGCUUGAUUCAUGACUAUGAAUCUAGAAGGUAACUUAAGACCGUACUUAAGACGAUCUUGAAAAUAAGUCACGACUAUGAAUACGGGCCUAUGUCUCGACGACCGGCGGGUGGUCCUUGCGCGCGGUGAUACGCGCUUAUUCGAAGACUUUAUUAAUUUUUACCUCGUUAACUAUGGCGAGUAUUAAAAAAUGAGUAGAAGAGCCAGCUACGAAUGCAUGAGCUAAUAGAAUAAGACAAAGAACAAGAGAUCCCUCAAUAGUCACAAUGCAAGUGAUCGCAAGUCUGCAGCGUUGACGCGUGCCACGGCGUAGUGCAGGGGCAUGAGGGAGCGGUGCGGUGCCAAGCUAUCCUUCCCCUCGUCACGCGCCACUUACCGUCGCGGCGUCGCCUACAGUCGGGCCGCGGUGGAUGGUCCUACCGCUCAGGCGAGCAAUCGCUUGUCUCUUGGUGCGCUCUUAUUCGGCCGACUUUAAUAUUUUAUUACUCGAAAGUUGUUGUAAAUUUCGCAAAAUAUUAAACUUUUUGAUUUAUCUCGAUCUCUUCUACCUCAUCGUGAUAAUAUGUAUACAUUGUUUUGGGACACUCUGUACACGCACGCGCGCACGCACACAUAUAUAAUAUAUGCGUGUGUGUAUUAGAAUUGUUUGUAACUUAUAUAAACUUAUAUAACAUAAGACAUGAUUACAAUGAUGCUAAUAACUAACAAUAAGUUGUGAUUACUAGUAUUAAAUAUUAAUAUUAAAAAAUUCACAAUAAAAUAUAGCAUUACAAACGACAUUUAUAUAUACGAGGACAGUCCAAUAAGUACUUAGCCUACAAAAGAAAAACGAAAAUUUUGGAAAAGUGGCGAUUUAUUUCUUAACAUAGUCUCCUUACCUCGAUACACUUGACCCAGCAAUGCUCCAACUUCUUUAACCCAUCUGAAAAAUACGUUUUCUCAAGGUCUGCAAAGUAGGCAUCCGUGGCGGCAAUAACCUCCUCAUUCAACUCAAAUUUCUGCCCGGCGAGUGACUUUUUCAAGUUUGGAAACAAAAAAAAGUCGCACGGGGCCAAAUCUGGAGAAUACAGUGGAUAGGACAGCAGUUCGUAGUGCAAUUCGACCAAUUUGGUCGUGAUGACGGCGGAGGUGUGAGCCGGUGCGUUGUCAUGGUGGAAGAGCACUUUUUUCUUAGCCAAAUGGAGCCGUUUUUUCUGCAAUUCGGCGUCGAAUCGGCCCAAUAAUUCGGCAUAGUAGAGCCCUGUGACCGUUUUGC